rnacentral:tRNA from 1 species
GCCUCGUUAGCUCAGUUGGUAGAGCAGAAGACUCUUAAUCUUUUGGUCCUAGGUUCGAGUCCUAGACGGGGUACCA